AUGAGCUUACUUGAAUAGGAUCUACUAUAUAGGCUCAUACCUUGGUAUCCUUGAUUUUUAAGGAAACAAGAAUCAAAGUCUGGUGCAUGAAUCGUGACCAUGCGAUCAGAGCAUGAUUAAAAGGUAGCACAAUCUUGAUCUUGAUUGGGAUUGUUGCAGUAAUAAAGGAUUGCUCUUGGUUGGCCUGGUUCAGCCAAGAUGGUCGUGUGACUGUCUGACAGACC